rnacentral:rRNA from 1 species
UUUGGGGGUGAAAUACCUUCGGACGAUUCUCAAACUUUAAAUACGCAAGAAAGGGAUGGUUGCUUCGGUGAAUCUCUAUCUCGAAAACGUCGGCCCUGUGGGCCACUUUUGGUAAGCAGAACUGGCGAUAUGGGAUGAACCAUAAGUUGGGUUAAGGCGUCUAAAUCUUCGCUUAAAGAUCCCACAAAAGGUGUUGGUUCAUAUAGACAGCAGGACGGUGGCCAUGGAAGUCGGAAUCCGCUAAGGAGUGUGUAACAACUCACCUGCCGAAUGAACUAGCCCUGAAAAUGGAUGACGCUUAAGCGGAGUGCCGACACCCGACCGUUUCGGUAAAACAGCAAGCACACGACCGAAAUGAGUAGGAGGGCGUGGCGAUUUUGUUUCGAAGGGUACGACGCGAGUCUACCUGGAACGGUCGCUAGUGCAGAUCUUGGUGGUAGUAGCAAAUAUUUAAGCGAGAUCCUUAAAGGGCGAAGCGGGGAAGGGUUCCACGCGAACAUUGAUUGGGCGUGGGUGAGUCGUUCCUAAGCCGGGUGGUAAUCGUUCUGUCGAUCGGCGAAAGGGAAGUUGGUUAAAAUUCCAACACACGGAUGUGGAGGCGGCAACGCAAAUUGAGGUGGAGACGUUAGCGGUGACACUGGGCAGAGUUUUCUUUUCUGUUUAACCCGUUGCGCACUCUGUGGAAUUCGAUUAUCGAGAGAAACAGGUGCGCGCUUUGGGAAGAGCGUCGGGGCGUCCCCGGCGUCCAGUACGUCACCGAGAACCCUUGAAAAUCCAUCUGCAAUGUAAUUUCACGCCGUGGCGUACCGAUAACCGCAGCAGGUCCCCAAGGUGAACAGCCUCUGCUCAAUAUGAACAAUGCAGGUAAGGGAAGUCGGCAAAAUAGACCCGUAACUUUGGGAAAAGGGUUGGCUCUAGUGGAGCGAAGGCUUUUUUGGGCAUCGUCGGAUUGGUGGAUUGUCGGUUUGGAG